rnacentral:lncRNA from 1 species
UUCACUCUGCAACGUGUCAUAAAUACAUAAAACGCGUAUUUAAAGAAAUAUCUAACUCCAAGUUUAAUUGACAAAUGUAAGCGCUCAAGUUUAUCAACAAACAGAAUCAUUGGUUAAGUGUCCAUAUCUAAAUGUUUGGAAGUUAAAUGUUACCUACUUUUAUCAUCUUAAAACAGUGUUUACGAGAAAGAAUAUAUGAUGCAACCUCAUGUUUUAUUAUCAAAU